UACGUAGGGGGCUAGCGUUGUCCGGAAUCAUUGGGCGUAAAGAGCGUGUAGGCGGUCCGGUAAGUCCGUUGUGAAAGUCAGGGGCUCAACCCUUGAAUGCCGGCGGAUACUGUCGGGCUAGAGUCCGGAAGAGGCAAGUGGAAUUCCCGGUGUAGCGGUGAAAUGCGCAGAUAUCGGGAGGAACACCGGUGGCGAAGGCGGUUCUCUGGGCAUUACCUGACGCUGAGGAGCGAAAGUGUGGGGAGCGAACAGG
rnacentral:rRNA from 1 species